UCCUCUCGGCUACUGCUCCAGCGGCACGAUGUGAUCCACCAGCUAGGAGGGACGCCAAUAAGGCGUCCGAUAAGAUAAGUCUUAUAAAAUAUAUAGAUGUAUGAUAAUUGAGACUGAGCUAACAGAUGAGAAUCCUAGUCAUUGGCCAAGCAGCAUUGUAACUAAUACAAGUCUCUCUGUGUAUUCAUUUGGGCCUAACUCGGUCAGGCAACUGGCGUAAAGCAUACACGUGGCGGUGGGGCUCAGCGGUUUAUGGCAGAAAGAUUGAUCAUAACAUCUCCCUCCAAAGUGAGUUUCUUUGGGUGACACAGUUUAAAUGCUGGUUAAUCAAGAAUGAGUUGCAGUCAUCACAAGCUUAGGGACAUCUGGAAAUGACUCUCCAUCUUCACACUUCACUGCCUUGACCUCUUGAAGAUGCCCCAUCAUUUAAAAACCACUGUGACUGCUAGGAACAUCACUCAAGUUGAACUAUGGGAAGUCUUGAGGGCAUUGAUUGUUACAAUUCCUCAUGCAGCUGCUAAAGUCGACAGAUCCUGGUGACAAAUAGAACAGCGAUAAUCUCAGCCCCUCCGACAAGUCAGUUAAUUCCUGUUCCCUUGUUUCUAUAAAGCAUAUAAAUCAACUAAUGCUACCAAUUCUCAGAACAAAUUAAGUAUUAUGUGUCAUAGAGACCAGAGCUGUUGGAUCACCUGGACUGGAGUUACAGUUGGCUGUGAGCCUCCUAAUGAGAAUACUGUUAACUGAACUCACAUCUUGUAUUACAGUGGUUCUCAAUCUUUAUGCUGCGACCCUUUAAUACAGCUCCCCCUAUUGUGGUGACCCCCAACCAUAAAAUUAUUUCUGUUGCUACUACAUAACUGUAAUUUUGCUACAGUUAUGGAUCAUAAUGUAAAUAAUUACAGAAAUAGAGGUUUGCCCAAGGGGUCACCACCUACAAGUAGAGAACCACUGUUCUAGAAGAACAGUGUAUGCUCUUAUGAGUUAAGGCAUCUCUCCGACCUAAGGUAACAAUUCUUGAUAUGAUUCUUUCCCAGGUAAUUGAGCUACAGAAGUAGACAGCAAACUUUCACAAUAUGUUAAUUAAAUGAUGGAAUCUAUUUAAAUUUUGCAUUAAUUAUUACAUUGUUUUUGUGUGCAGAAUAGUGGAGCAACUUCAGCUAGAAACACUGCCCUUUUUACAGAUGUUUAAAACAGAAGCAUUUAAAGGGCCAUUUAUGAGUUUUAAUUGAUGAGUAAUAAUAACAUAACUUCUUUAAAAUGAUAUUUCAAAAAUUUAAUUAUUGCAUAUCCUAAUGUCUGAAGGUCAAAUUUGAAUCUUAUUUCACAUUGGAACAGUAGACUAAUGAACAAUUAGUGGAAAUGACUAUAAUUAGAAAUGUAUAAUUCACAGUGUUUCUACAGUUGGUGGAGUUUCCCUACAUCCAAAGAAUAUUAAAUUGAAAACUACCUUAUUUGUAAUAAUAUGAAAACAUGAAAGUCAUUCUGUGGUAUUAUGCAAAAACAUUGAUGUUUUCUGAUUAAGGGAUUCUGGAGAACAGAUAAUGUUCAAAAGAGAAAUAAAGGUGUUCAAACAUCAAUAUGCUGCUCAUAAAGCCAGGCAACAAUAGAUCAUCUCUUACAUAAUUCAGUUAUUGCACAAUCCAUCUUUUAUUUUUCCAGAGCUGAGAGCAAAGCUCAAGGCCUUGAGUUUUUUAGACUGGUGCUGUACCACUGAGCUAAACCCCUGACCUCUAUGACAAAUCCUAAGCAAUUACUUAGUUCUACUUACCUGCCAAAAAUUGAUACUCAGGGGUCAAUUUGAUAAUAUUACCACACCUAAAUAUUACACACAUUGUAUUAAGCAAAUAUUGAUGCUGUUAAAGUUUUAAUUCAGACUCUGUAUAAGAAUCCCACUGGUAAUUAUUUUUUGCUAACGUACUUUCAUCUUCCACUUAUAUACACAGUAAUUCUUCUCUACAAUAUGAUGAAAACUAUCCCCCAAGUCCUUUAGGAAUAUGUCCUUUGAUCAUGGCUGUCUUUAUACUAAGAAACUUACCUGCAUUAUUAAUUAUCACAAUGUAAUUAAACCAAAACCAUUUACACUUUUAAUUUGAGACUGUAUUGCUUCAUAAUUAACCCAAAUGGAGGAUAAGGUAAUUAAUUUUUAGGAAACAAUUUUACUGCAUAAAGUUAAAUAUCAACUAAUAUGUGUAUUAAAUUUCCAGAAGUGUUUUGAAAAAUUAAUUUUUUCCUAAACUUACAGAGCAGCAGAAAUUUCAUCAUUGCAUUCUCAAUGUCAAAUAAUUCACAAAUAAAAAAGAGGGAAUUUAAUUACAAUAAUCAUUAGGAAUAUAAUCAUGUUUCUGUUUAUCAAUUAUUCUUUUUUUCCCCUCUUUUUAUUAUAAUUAAUUCAAGUUAGGGAACAGGCUUGUUUCACAUGUAAUUUCCCUCU